rnacentral:lncRNA from 1 species
AACAUCUUUGGCUUUGAGACCAUUCCUGAAGAGUGCGUUGAAGCAACAAAGGAAUACAUCCAUGGCGAACAAUAUAGAUCAGACUCCAAAACAGUUAACCAACAAGCUUACUUUUAUGCCAGAGACCUCGAAGUCCAUCCCAAGGACACAUUUGUGUUCAGUAUAGAUGGCACCGUACUCUCUAAUAUUCCAUACUACAAAAAACAUGGAUAUGGGUAUUAUGCUCUUAGUUAAUUUUCUUCUAAUACUCUCUUUUUCCGUUUUUGCUAUUACUAGGUUACUCCCUUAUAUGCGCAUCAUUUAUUUUCAACUAUUUUUGGUAUUGAUCGAGUUUCGGUGUUUGGCCCGACUAACAACAUUAAGGUUUCUCAUCACAUGCAUGUAGAUUUGAAACCUUCAUUAUAUAUGACAUUUUAUGAUUAGAUAUAAUAUAAAGAAAAAGUUUCAUUGUGAGUGCAUAAAUAUAUAUAUAUACAGACACAGGCACAUACAUGCUUUCAGGAUCGUGUUCAUUGUUCUUAAUGCAAUAUUUUAUGUGAUAGGGUGGAGAAAUUUAACUCGACCUUGUAUGAUGAAUGGGUUAACAAGGGCAAUGCACCGGCACUGCCCGAGACUCUUAAGAAUUACAACAAGCUGGUGUCUCUUGGCUUCAAGAUUAUAUUCUUGUCAGGAAGAACACUGGACAAACAGGCCGUAACAGAAGCAAACUUAAAGAAGGCUGGCUACCACACAUGGGAAAAAUUAAUUCUCAAGUCAGUUUUCUUUUUUCUCUAUACUAUAUUCUCAAGUCAAUUAAUUCUCAACGUUGCACCAAAUCUGCCAGGAAGGAACAGUUUAUAGAUAAUCAGAAAUUAUAUAAUUAUUUUAAGUACAUGGUGCGAUAUGAGUUUGAAAUACUAGUAGCUAAUUGGAUCUAUUUUUGGUUGGUGCAGGGAUCCACAAGAUCCUUCCACUCCAAAUGCAGUUUCAUACAAAACAGCAGCGAGAGAGAAACUGAUAAGGCAGGGAUACAACAUUGUUGGGAUCAUUGGAGACCAAUGGAGCGAUCUCCUCGGAGGCCACAGAGGCGAAAGCAGGACCUUUAAGCUUCCUAAUCCCCUGUACUACAUUCAGUAGUUCCUUCACCUCUCAAC